rnacentral:rRNA from 1 species
UAAGCAUAUUAAUCAGCGGAGGAAAAGAAACUAACAAGGAUUCCCUCAGUAACUGCGAGUGAACCGGGAUGAGCUCAAUGUGUG